rnacentral:rRNA from 1 species
GAUGAACGCUGGCGGCGUGCCUAAUACAUGCAAGUCGAGCGAACAGACGAGGAGCUUGCUCCUCUGACGUUAGCGGCGGACGGGUGAGUAACACGUGGAUAACCUACCUAUAAGACUGGGAUAACUUCGGGAAACCGGAGCUAAUACCGGAUAACAUGUUGAACCGCAUGGUUCAACAGUGAAAGACGGUCUUGCUGUCACUUAUAGAUGGAUCCGCGCCGCAUUAGCUAGUUGGUAAGGUAACGGCUUACCAAGGCAACGAUGCGUAGCCGACCUGAGAGGUUGGUCGGCCACACUGGACCUGAGACACGGUCCAGACUCCUACGGGAGGCAGCAGUAGGGAAUCUUCCGCAAUGGGCGAAAGCCUGACGGAGCAACGCCGCGUGAGUGAAGAAGGUCUUCGGAUCGUAAAACUCUGUUAUUAGGGAAGAACAAAUGUGUAAGUAACUAUGCACGUCUUGACGGUACCUAAUCAGAAAGCCACGGCUAACUACGUG